GUGCUUCUUCUUCCCCCUCGCCUUGGAAAAACCAGUUUCUCUCUCUUUCAUUGUCUGUUACCAACUUCUAUUCCAAAACUUCAACGGAACCCCAACCAUAUUCCAAACUGUCUUUCUCCAGCUACCUUUAGCCCCCUCCACUCCAACUCACUUUCCUCUGCUCUCAUAUGCCUUCUCCCUAAAGAGAGAAUGGCUUUGGGACCCACCCCUACCUUCCCUCAGGAGCCAUUUCUGUUCUGCACGGGCCUGCAGCACUGGACACUUUAUACAGUAAGUAGUUCUCCUUUCUCAUUUCCUGUCCUCAAACCUUAGGAGUGGAAGAACAUUCCAAGAUUUGGAAUUCCUUUUCUUUCUCUCAUGCGCGUGAGCCUGCAGCCUCCCCUUUGCUUGAGUUAUCUUUUGAAAAAUCUAUUGAUUGUUUCGAAUCAAGCUCAUAAUAGGCCCUGCUGUGUUGAAGGUGCAGACACUCAUACCUACAGACACGGGGCCUCCGGAGUACCCAUCCUGCAGGCCGAGGACCCCACGUGAAGGCGAGGCGCUCCGCACACUCCCACCGAGGACUUGAAGAAUCUGGUGGGCCAUCCAUGGUGGGAGGAUGAGAGUGGGAUUUCAGUGGAGUGAAGUUCAGGAGGCAUGGAGCUGACGCCACAGCCGCAGCAGCCCCAACAGUGGCAGCGGGGAAAGCUCUGACUUAGAAAAGGGAACCCCAGGGAGAGAUGGGAUAGAGGAGGAGACCCUGGAGCGAGUGUCUUCUGCAGAGGGGACGGGUGUAGGCGGACUGGGAACAGCACCACAGAUAGGAACCGCCUUCUAAAUGCCUGCAACGGGAAUGUGUGUUUUCUGUAACUUACAAACAUUAAAAAGUUGUCCGUCUGCUGGAAA